UAUCUUGACCAGAUCUAUGAGCUUAAACGUUGAGUGUUUGGUGAAUUAGCACAUGAUCCGGGAGAAGGCGCAUCGGCUGGGUAAAGAGGUCGAGAGGAUAGGUCAUGAAGCAGCUUCCCUCCAAUCCCAACUAUCAUCCGCUCGGGACUACAUAUCUCAACUUGAGGGGCGAUCGAAGUAUUACGAGGACAAGCUGGCCGAGCAA
rnacentral:misc_RNA from 1 species